GUGUCAGCCGCCGCGGUAACACGGGGGGAGCAAGCGUUGUUCGGAAUCACUGGGCGUAAAGGGCGUGUAGGCGGUUUCGUAAGUGGGAUGUGAAAUCCCCCGGCUUACCCGGGGACCUGCAUCCCAAACUGCGCGACUUGAGUAUGGGAGAGGAUGAGGGAAUUCCUGGUGUAGCGGUGAAAUGCGUAGAUAUCAGGAGGAACACCGGUGGCGAAGGCGCUCAUCUGGCCCAAUACUGACGCUGAGGCGCGAAAGCUAGGGUAGCGAACGGGAUUAGAUACCCUCGUAGUCC
rnacentral:rRNA from 1 species